CGAAACGGAGCAGGGCUUCUCCCGGCCAGCCCUGGGGAAGGGGCAGCGGUGGCACGGUCCUGGGUCAGGGACUGGCCAGGGGCACUCAAGGCUUGCAGGGGAUGGAGAGGAGAUGGAGGUCUGGAUGGGAAUGCCGCAUGGAAAAGGCCGAGCUGGGGACACGGGGACAGUUUAACGACACCAGUGGGGGAAUCAGAAACCCCAGGAUGGGGACGAUGUUACUGCCAGAGACCUUCCCCGUUGGCAUCACCCUGCUCUGAUGGAGGAACCACGGAGGGAGGUCACCGGGACCGGGCACCCCGUGGGGUCGAUGGUUCCAUAUGCGAGUCCAGGCUGGCUGGGACCCUUUCCCCUACUCCUCUUCCCUGCGGAGAAGAGCUUGCCCUGCCCCAUGCCUCCUCCUGGGCUUUCCAGCGGCAUCCGUGGAGCCAGAGCACAAGGCAGCGGAGCGAUCGGUGUGCGGACGGACAGACAGACACGCGCAGCGAGGUGAUGAGUAUGGGGGGAGCAGCCCGGUGCUCCCUGCAAACACUCCCAGAUCCAGCCCGGUGCUCCCUGCAAACACUCCCAGAUCCAGCCCGGUGCUCCCUAGGGCGCAGCGGGAGAAACCGAGGCAGGGGAUGGGAGCGAGGGCUGGGGAGGAAGGUGACGCCGGCAGCGCUGGGUCCCCGCUGUAACUGCUGGGAUCCCACUCGGAAAACAAAUCAGUAACUAA